rnacentral:rRNA from 1 species
UACGUAGGGUGCAAGCGUUGUCCGGAAUUAUUGGGCGUAAAGAGCUCGUAGGCGGUCUGUUGCGUCGGCUGUGAAAACCCGGGGCUCAACCCCGGGCCUGCAGCCGAUACGGGCAGGCUAGAGUGUGGUAGGGGAGAUCGGAAUUCCUGGUGUAGCGGUGAAAUGCGCAGAUAUCAGGAGGAACACCGGUGGCGAAGGCGGAUCUCUGGGCCAUUACUGACGCUGAGGAGCGAAAGCGUGGGGAGCGAACAGG